UAUGUAUUCCUGUUUUGCAUAUGUAAAUGUGUUAUGUGUUUAAUGAUACUCACUGUGACAAUUGGAAGAUAACUACAAAUAUACAUUUAGGGUAUUCCAGUGAUCAAUUCAUUGACAGCCAAUGUACAUGCUUCUAUAUGUGGGUUAGUAUUAUGUUGUUAUUUGUGUCUAUAGAAUAUGAUUAAGUCUACUCAAUUUGCUGGAAUAAUACUCGUGUGUUGAUGGAAUGUAUGUGCGAACCCUUUGUUGGGGUGUAAUAAUACAAAAUCUACGUGUUGUUAUGUUUUAACUCUUAUUUUAUGUGUCUAUAGAAUACGUUGAGUGCGAGACAUUUGAAUUGAUACACAAAGAGGUUGCUAAUGAUGAAGAAGCUUACAAAUUAUACAAUGACUAUGUAUUUAAAUGCGGAUUUGGUAUCCGGAAGGGCAAAGUUUGUUGGAGAUAUGAUACGAAGACCAUCAGACAACGAUUUUUGGUUUGUAGUCGUGCAGGAUUGAAAGACACAAAAGGUGGUGUGCCUAAGGUAUGUGUUAUGUUUUGGGUGUUUUAAUGUAGGUCAUGAUAAUGUGUACAUUAAUUUUAUAUAGUAGUGUUGUGGGGGUGGUGAUGAUCAUUAAUUCAAAGCUAAUGUUCACUAGAGUAUACUUCAGGUAUUUGUUAUGUUGUGUGUGGUUAAAUGUAGGUCAUGAUAUUAGUAAACAUGAGGUAGUUAUUUUAAAUGAUAGUGUUUAAAAAAUAUUGGGCUAAGAUGUAUAUUGUGCUAAAUUUAUAUAAUAGUGUUGUGGAAUGGUGAUGAUCAUUACUGCAAAGGCAAUGUUCACUAGAGUAUACUUGAUGUUCUUUUUUGGCACAGGCAUAUACUAAGCUUGAUCAACGUUGUGGAUGUAAAGCGUAUAUUCAAUUUGAUGUAUCCAAAGAGUCUGGACUUUUUAUUGUUACUACGCACCAUAUGAUUCACAAUCACCCCAUGGUGCCAUUAAUACAAAGACAUUUAAUAAGAUCUCAUAGAAAAGUCACUGUUGAACAAUUGCACAUGAUUAAUAAUUUGAGAAGUUGUGGAGUUGGGGUUGCUGAAGCUGUGCGUGUAUUGAGGAAGGAAGCCGGGGGAUCUGCCAAUCUUGGUUUUGCGCACAGGGAUGCUUAUGAUGCAGUUGCUGCUCAAAGAAAGAAAGAACUUGAUGGUUGUGACAGUAACCAGCUGAUUAAGAACUUUACACAAAGACAAGCAGCGGAAUGUGAUUUUUACUAUGACGUUCGACUAGAUGCUAUAGGCCACUUAAUAAGUUUUUUUUGGAGAGAUGGAAGAAUGAAAAAGGAUUAUGAAGUGUUUGGAGAUUUGGUUGUUCAUGAUACAGCGUACCGAACGAAUAAGUAUGGGAUGAUUUGCGGUCCGUUUGUUGGGAUGAACCAUCACCAAAGGAAUGUGAUGUUUGGAGUUGGUUUCCUACUAAAUGAAGACACCGAUUCUUUUGUGUGGUUGUUUGAGUCUUUUUUGAAAAGUAUAGGAGGUAGGUCGCCAAUAACCAUAAUGACUGACCAAGAUGCCGCCAUGGCGAAGGCUAUAAGCAUUGUUUUUCCCAAUGUUAUACAUUGUCUUUGUAUAUGGUACAUAGGGAAAAAUUCCAUCAACAAUAUAAAAGCCUUGAGGGGGAAGGCUGGAUUUGUGGAUCUAUUCAAUUAUGUUUUAAAACAUUGUGAGACCAAGAGUGAGUUCAAGCACUAUUGGACAAGUAUGAUUACCAAGUACAAGUGUGCUGCAUGUCCUUGGUUGAUUAGGUUGUACAAGUUAAAGAAGAUGCGGUGUCUUGUUUACUCCAAGGAUUACUUCUCAGGGGGGGGGGUGCUGUCUUCUCAAAGAAGUGAGACCACAAAUCAUUCUUUGAAUCAAAGGCUUCAUAGCAUGCAAGGCCUUUGCGAUUUCUACAAGGUCUUUAUAGAUGUUGUUGAGGAGUGGAGGGAUAGGGAGAAUGGUGAAGAUUACAAUGCACUUGAUGGCAACAAACAUCUAGCAUUUGUAGAUGUUAAGUUACUCAAUGAGGCAAAGAAGAUAUACACUGUGGCUGUGUACCUGACGACUGACAUUCGAGGAAAAUUUCAUAAGAGGUGCGUCAUUUUGCCAGAAACUAGUUAAGUAUGAUCCCCCUUUUUUUGAAUACCAUGUGGGUUGCACUGAGAAAGAAUAUUUAAUGCAUCUUGUUAGAUUUGACCAAGAAAAUAUGACAAUUGAUUGUACAUGCAAGUAUUUCACUGAGAUGGGUCUAUUAUGUUCGCAUUCAUUGAGGACUUUUCACAUUCAUAAUGUUGAAAAAAUCCCCCAAAGAUAUAUUUUGGGUAGAUGGGCAAAACAUGCUAUGUGUACAAGAGUUGACGAUGACGUGGGCAAGAAUGUAAACAUUGUUCAAGCGUCGGUGUGGUGUGUUCACACUACAAGGGAUGCUUUAUCAAUAAUCAAUUCAACCCAACAUGACAUAGCUGCUAGGAAGGUUGUGGAGAAUGCUUUAAGUGAUUUAAAGUCAAAGGUUGAGUUGCUUAUUGGGAAGGUUGAUGAAUCUAUCACAAUUGAUGAAGUGAAAAAUUUGUUAUAUCCUGUUGUGAAAGAUCCACCUAAAAAGAGGAAGAGAGGAGCUAGAAAUGUAAGGUUGAAAAGCACUGUGGAAAAGCAGGUGAACAAGUUAAGAGGGUGGAAGAAAACUGCUGAGAAAGCUGCAUUGAGGAAUAAGGCAAAAGCGCAAAAAUCUGUCCAGGAAUACAUUGAUAUCCCUGAAGAGUGUAAUGUAGCUCACUCAACACACAACAAGUCUCUUCUUGAUGUGUAUGGACCUGAUGAUUAUUUCCAUAUUAACCACAUCCCUGUGGAAGGUAGUAAUGUUGAGCAGUCGCAUCAUAAAGCCGCUUUGGAAGUCUACCAUGAAUAUUCUGAGAAGCUUUUCGGUAAUUGAGAAGCGAUAUUUUGGUCACCUAACAUGAAUAUUUUGAUGAGCUCU